UACAGAGGGGGCAAGCGUUAUUCGGAAUUAUUGGGCGUAAAGGGCGCGUAGGCGGCCUGGCAAGUGGAAGGUGAAAUCCCUCGGCUUAACCGAGGAACUGCCUCCCAAACUGCUUGGCUUGAGACCAGGAGAGGUGAGUGGAAUUCCCAGUGUAGCGGUGAAAUGCGUAGAUAUUGGGAGGAACACCAGUGGCGAAGGCGGCUCACUGGACUGGUACUGACGCUGAGGCGCGAAAGCGUGGGGAGCGAACAGG
rnacentral:rRNA from 1 species